AUUGAACGCUGGCGGCAGGCCUAACACAUGCAAGUCGAACGAGUGGCGCACGGGUGAGUAAUGUCUGGGAAACUGCCCGAUGGAGGGGGAUCACUACCGGAAACGGUAGCUAAUACCGCAUACCAUCGGAUGUGCCCAGAUGGGAUUAGCUAGUAGGUGGGGUAACGGCUCACCUAGGCGACGAUCCCUAGCUGGUUUGAGAGGAGGACCAGCCAACCUGGAGCUGAGACACGGUCCAGACUCCUACGGGAGGCAGCAGUGGGGAAUAUUGCACAAUGGGGGAAAGCCUGAUGCAGCCAUGCCACGUGUAUGAAGAAGGCCUUCGGGUUGUAAAGUACUUUCAGCUAGGAUGCGUUACUCGCAGAAGAAGCACCGGCUAACUCCGUGCCAGCCGCCGCGGUAAUUC
rnacentral:rRNA from 1 species